rnacentral:rRNA from 1 species
GUGGGGAAUAUUGCACAAUGGGCGCAAGCCUGAUGCAGCCAUGCCGCGUGUGUGAAGAAGGCCUUCGGGUUGUAAAGCACUUUCAGCGGGGAGGAAGGCGAUAAGGUUAAUAACCUUGUCGAUUGACGUUACCCGCAGAAGAAGCACCGGCUAACUCCGUGCCAGCAACCGCGGUAAUACGGAGGGUGCAAGCGUUAAUCGGAAUUACUGGGCGUAAAGCGCACGCAGGCGGUCUGUCAAGUCGGAUGUGAAAUCCCCGGGCUCAACCUGGGAACUGCAUUCGAAACUGGCAGGCUAGAGUCUUGUAGAGGGGGGUAGAAUUCCAGGUGUAGCGGUGAAAUGCGUAGAGAUCUGGAGGAAUACCGGUGGCGAAGGCGGCCCCCUGGACAAAGACUGACGCUCAGGUGCGAAAGCGUGGGGAGCAAACAGGAUUAGAAACCCUGGUAGUCC